rnacentral:lncRNA from 1 species
ACUGAGCUGACCCAGUGACUUGUAAUGGCUAGUUUUAUAUUUUAUAGCUUUUUAUUUUCAUUAUCUCACAAUGGCUACUUCAGUCGUUCCAAUGGUUAAAAUAUUUUUUUCAACCUCUGUUAAGCCUAUUUAAAGGUGGAGAAUCAAAGAAAAAAUAUAGAAAGUGAAUUGAAAGAAGCAAUCAUCCAAGUUUGAGAGUUUUAUUGAAUAUCCAAGAAAAGAG